GUGAACGCUGGCGGUCGGCCUCACACAUGCCAGUCGAACGGCAGCACAGUAAGAGCUUGCUCUUACGGGUGGCGAGUGGCGGACGGGUGAGGAAUACAUCGGAAUCUACUUUUUCGUGGGGGAUAACGUAGGGAAACUUACGCUAAUACCGCAUACGACCUACGGGUGAAAGCAGGGGAUCUUCGGACCUUGCGCGAUUGAAUGAGCCGAUGUCGGAUUAGCUAGUUGGCGGGGUAAAGGCCCACCAAGGCGACGAUCCGUAGCUGGUCUGAGAGGAUGAUCAGCCACACUGGAACUGAGACACGGUCCAGACUCCUACGGGAGGCAGCAGUGGGGAAUAUUGGACAAUGGGCGCAAGCCUGAUCCAGCCAUACCGCGUGGGUGAAGAAGGCCUUCGGGUUGUAAAGCCCUUUUGUUGGGAAAGAAAAGCAGCAGGUUAAUACCCCGCUGUUCUGACGGUACCCAAAGAAUAAGCACCGGCUAACUUCGU
rnacentral:rRNA from 1 species